rnacentral:rRNA from 1 species
CUACCAUGCAGUCGGACGGUAGCACCUAGAGCUUGUUCUCGGGUGACAAGUGGCGGACGGGUGAGUAAUGUCUGGGGAUCUGCCCGAUAGAGGGGGAUAACCACUGGAAACGGUGGCUAAUACCGCAUAACGUCCCGAAACCAAAGAGGGGGACCUUGGGGCCUCUCACUAUCGCAUGAACCCCGAUGGGAUUAGAUAGUAUGCGGGGUAAUGGCCCACCUAGGGGACUAUCCCUACCUGGUCUGAAAGGAUGACCACCCACACUGGAACUGAAACACGGUCCAUACUCCUACGGGAGGCACCAGUGGGGAAUAUUGCGCAAUGGGCGCAAGCCUGAUGCAACCAUGCCGCGUGUGUGAAAAAAGCCUUCGGGUUGUGAAGUACUUUCUCCGGGGAGGAAGGCGAGGCGGUUAAUAACCGCGUCUAUUGACGUUACCCGCAGAACAAUCACCGGCUAACUCCGUGCCACCACCCGCGGUAAUACGGAGGGUGCCAGCGUUAUUCGGAAUUACUGGGCGUAAAGCGCACGCAUGCGGUCUGUUAAGUCAGAUGUGAAAUCCCCGGGCUUAACCUGGGAACUGCAUUUGAAACUGGCAAGCUUGAGUCUUGUAUAGGGGGGUAGAAUUCCAGGUGUAACGGUGAAAUGCC